rnacentral:rRNA from 1 species
GACAGAGGGUGCAAGCGUUGUUCGGAAUCAUUGGGCGUAAAGGGCGCGUAGGCGGUUUUGUAAGUCGGAUGUGAAAGCCCAGGGCUUAACCUUGGAAGUGCAUCCGAAACUGCAUAACUGGAGUCUCGGAGAGGGUGGUGGAAUUCCCAGUGUAGAGGUGAAAUUCGUAGAUAUUGGGAGGAACACCGGUGGCGAAGGCGACCACCUGGACGAAGACUGACGCUGAGGCGCGAAAGCUAGGGGAGCAAACGGG